AUUGAUUUGGCGCCGUCUUGUGGCACUUUGAGCCAAGGAAUUCUGUUGACAUGACUAUAAGGCACUUGCUUUAAACCAAAGUAGUGCUUUUUUCAUUUGUUCUGUGUACAGAAGAAGAACGAGCGGAAAAUGAAAAGGAUAUGAGCGCUGUGACGACGCCGAUGGCACCACCGAGAGCGAAGGAGCCGCUGAAGACACCGAGGAACAUGCCGAAGGACUUGAACAUGGCCACCACCUCGAAGACUUACGAGGAGAGAACGACGGCCACGGCGUCGUUGAGCACGCUCUCGCCGAACAGCAACGCGUACAAGUCCACGUCCACUUGCAGCUCGUUGAAGAUGGCCAGGACCGUCACUACGGCAACAGAAGACAACAAUCAGUUCUAAGCAUGAGGUGGGUAUUCAUGAAGGUUCGAUUUGGUGCCGAUUGCAGUUUGAAUAGAAGUCAACAAUGGAGGCGCACCAGGGUCGGUAGCGGACACGAUGGCGCCGAAGAACAGGCAAUCCGUGAAGAAGAAUUCUCCACCCAGUUGCCCCAUAUGCUUCAUUAGCAUCACACAGCCAUACAUCAACAACCUGGCAAUAAAAAAAGAAAAGACGACAGUAAUAAAUCACAACAAAUGUGUAAAAAGUGACAAUCUUACCCGAUGACGAAACAGGAAACGACUGUCCCCAAGAAGGCGUAAGCCAGGAUGGAGCCCAUAUUCCGGAAAAAGUGUCUCUGGAAACAAGUCAGACGCCAUCGAAAACGUAACUCUCCUUCCUCCUGACAGCACAUUGAUGAUGUCAUCAAGAGGAGACCCAAAAAGAUUUUGCUUACCCUCUUCAGGCUGUAGCCAGCGUGAAAGAUGAUCGGCGGAAGGAGGAUGUUAAAGAAGACUUCAGGGUCAAAAGUCACCUGGGUUGGAUACAAGACAAAAAGUAAAUUGAAAAAGAAGUAGAAAAUGUGCUAAAGUGCUGACCCUGAACUGAAAGUGCUAUGGAAUUGGAAAAUGCAAAAACCUGUGCAGGUGUACUGACUAAGCUGAACAGUUUCAAGUUAAUGUAGUUUGAUUUAUUCAGACCUUGCGAAGCAUCUCGUUGUCCUGCACGUCAUCCACCUCGCUGGCACUGAUUUCACCCUUCAGCGUGUACUCAUAGAACUUUCCCUUGGAGUGGACGAGCAGUGUGGCGGGGCUGGCGUUAACGUGGCAGCUCAGCGUCACGUUGCUGACGUCGCGUGGGACGUGGAUCCCGUAGCGCAACACUACGCCCACCAGUAAACC